rnacentral:rRNA from 1 species
GACGAACGCUGGCGGCGUGCCUAAUACAUGCAAGUAGAACGCUGAAGGAGGAGCUUGCUUCUCUGGAUGAGUUGCGAACGGGUGAGUAACGCGUAGGUAACCUGCCUGGUAGCGGGGGAUAACUAUUGGAAACGAUAGCUAAUACCGCAUAAGAGUAGAUGUUGCAUGACAUUUGCUUAAAAGGUGCAAUUGCAUCACUACCAGAUGGACCUGCGUUGUAUUAGCUAGUUGGUGAGGUAACGGCUCACCAAGGCAACGAUACAUAGCCGACCUGAGAGGGUGAUCGGCCACACUGGGACUGAGACACGGCCCAGACUCCUACGGGAGGCAGCAGUAGGGAAUCUUCGGCAAUGGACGGAAGUCUGACCGAGCAACGCCGCGGGAGUGAAGAAGGUUUUCGGAUCGUAAAGCUCUGUUGUAAGAGAAGAACGAGUGUGAGAGUGGAAAGUUCACACUGUGACGGUAUCUUACCAGAAAGGGACGGCUAACUACGUG